rnacentral:rRNA from 1 species
AAUAGAUACCCGGGUAGUCCACGCCGUAAACGAUGAGUGCUAGGUGUUAGGGGGGGUUCCGCCCCUUAGUGCUGCAGCUAACGCAUUAAGCACUCCGCCUGGGGAGUACGGUCGCAAGACUGAAACUCAAAGGAAUUGACGGGGGCCCGCACAAGCGGUGGAGCAUGUGGUUUAAUUCGAAGCAACGCGAAGAACCUUACCAGGUCUUGACAUCCCGCUGACCGCCAUGGAGACAUGGCCUUCCCUUCGGGGACAGCGGUGACAGGUGGUGCAUGGUUGUCGUCAGCUCGUGUCGUGAGAUGUUGGGUUAAGUCCCGCAACGAGCGCAACCCUUGUCCUUAGUUGCCAUCAUUCAGUUGGGCACUCUAAGGAGACUGCCGUACAAAUACGGAGGAAGGUGGGGAUGACGUCAAAUCAUCAUGCCCCUUAUGACCUGGGCUACACACGUGCUACAAUGGGUGGUACAAAGGGCAGCAAACCCGGCGAGGGGGANCGAAUCCCAAAAAGCCACUCUCAGUUCGGAUUGCAGGCUGC